UCCAGGCCCUACGGGGUGCAGCAGGCGCGAAACCUCCGCAAUGUGAGAAAUCGCGACGGGGGGAUCCCAAGUGCCAUUCUUAACGGGAUGGCUUUUCAUUAGUGUAAAGAGCUUUUGGAAUAAGAGCUGGGCAAGACCGGUGCCAGCCGCCGCGGUAACACCGGCAGCUCUAGUGGUAGCAGUUUUUAUUGGGCCUAAAGCGUCCGUAGCCGGUUUAAUAAGUCUCUGGUGAAAUCCUGCAGCUUAACUGUGGGAAUUGCUGGAGAUACUAUUAGACUUGAGAUCGGGAGAGGUUAGAGGUACUCCCAGGGUAGAGGUGAAAUUCUAUAAUCCUGGGAGGACCGCCUGUUGCGAAGGCGUCUGACUGGAACGAUUCUGACGGUGAGGGACGAAAGCUAGGGGCGCGAACCGGAUUAGAUACCCGGGUAGUCCUAGCUGUAAACGAUGCGGACUUGGUGUUGGGGUGGCUUUGAGCUGUCCCAGUGCCGAAGGGAAGCUGUUAAGUCCGCCGCCUGGGAAGUACGGUCGCAAGACUGAAACCUAAAGGAAUUGGCGGGGGAGCACCACAACGCGUGGAGCCUGCGGUUUAAUUGGAGUCAACGCCGG
rnacentral:rRNA from 1 species